rnacentral:rRNA from 1 species
AUUGAACGCUGGCGGCAGGCUUAACACAUGCAAGUCGAGCGAGCGGCGGACGGGAGAGUAAUGUAUGGAACACUGCCUGAGGGCGGGGGAUAACUACUGGAAAGGGUGGCUAAUACCGCAACCCAUCAGAGGUGCCCAGAUGGGCUUAGCUAGUCGGUGGGGUAAUGGAGCACCUAGGCGACGACCCCUAGCUGGUGUGAGAGGAUGACCAGCCACACUGGAACUGAGCCACGGUCCAGACUCCUACGGGAGGCAGCAGUGGGGAAUAUUGCACAAUGGGCGCAAGCCUGAUGCAGCCAUGCCGCGUGUGUGAAGAAGGCCUUAGGGUUGUAAAGCACGUUCAGCGAGGAGGCGUUACUCGCAGAAGAAGCACCGGCUAACUCCGUGCCAGCAGCCGCGGUAAUAC